ACUUAACUGGGGUCAAAUUGACUCUAGUAGGGAGUCCCUGCAUUCAAUAUGGCGACUUCCUAAUAGAGUCAGGCUGACUCCUUUUAAGACGUUC
rnacentral:pre_miRNA from 1 species